rnacentral:rRNA from 1 species
CAGUCGCCGCGGUAAUACGUAGGGUGCAAGCGUUAAUCGGAAUUACUGGGCGUAAAGCGUGCGUAGGUGGUGGUUUAAGUCCGUUGUGAAAGCCCUGGGCUCAACCUGGGAAUUGCAGUGGAUACUGGGUCACUAGAGUGUGGUAGAGGAUAGUGGAAUUUCCGGUGUAGCAGUGAAAUGCGUAGAGAUCGGAAGGAACAUCUGUGGCGAAGGCGACUAUCUGGGCCAACACUGACACUGAGGCACGAAAGCGUGGGGAGCAAACAGGAUUAGAUACCCGCGUAGUCCCUGUCUCUUAUAC